UACGUAGGAGGCAAGCGUUGUCCGGAAUUAUUGGGCGUAAAGAGCUCGUAGGUGGUUCGGUAAGUCGGAUGUGAAAUCUCCAGGCUCAACCUGGAGGGGUCAUUCGAUACUGCCGUGACUAGAGUUCGGUAGGGGAGUGUGGAAUUCCUGGUGGAGCGGUGAAAUGCGCAGAUAUCAGGAGGAACACCAAUGGCGAAGGCAGCUCGCUGGAACGGUACUGACGCUGAGGCGCGAAAGCGUGGGGAGCGAACAGG
rnacentral:rRNA from 1 species